rnacentral:rRNA from 1 species
GACGAACGCUGGCGGCGUGCUUAACACAUGCAAGUCGAACGAAGUGGCGGACGGGUGAGUAACGCUUAAGCAACCUGCCCUUCAGAGGGGGACAACAGUUGGAAACGACUGCUAUAACCGCUACCGGAAGAAGGGGGUUGCGUCGGAUUGGCUAGUUGGAGGGGUAACGGCCCACCAAGGCGAUGAUCAGUAGCCGGGCUGAGAGGAUGAACGGCCACAUUGGGACUGAGACACGGCCCAGACUCCUACGGGAGGCAGCAGUGGGGAAUCUUCAGCAAUGGACGAAAGUCUGACGGAGCAACGCCGCGUGAGUGAUGACGGCCUUCGGGUUGUAAAGCUCUGUUAUUCGGGACGCGGUACCGGAAUAGAAAGCCACGGCUAACUACGUGCCAGCAGCCGCGGUAAUUC